GGCUUCGACGUGGGUUUCAAAGCAGCGCAGGGCAUACCGAGGGCCAGUCACCUCGUAAAUACAUCUGGAAAAGUUAUAAUUGCAAACGAAGAUAGUUACGCUCUAGCCGCUUAAAUCCGGCUAGACUCCGCACCGGUGGGCCUUAACGCCGGGUCUGGUAACAGACAGCGGAGCCAUUAACGAGGAUCGCACUUUGUAGGGUCGCUUUGCAUAGUGUUAAAUAAUAGGUGACUCGCCUAACUUCAGUUCGCCAGUUGACGGCUGUUGGGUUAAAUUAAAUAGCAUGGCUAAGUAUGUAGAACUGACUGUAGAGGAUUUGCGGACGCGGGUUCGAUUCCCGCCGCCUCCACCA
rnacentral:tmRNA from 1 species